rnacentral:rRNA from 1 species
CAUGUCCUACGGGGGGCAGCAGUGGGGAAUAUUGGGCAAUGGGCGCAAGCCUGACCCAGCAACGCCGCGUGAAGGAAGAAGGCUUUCGGGUUGUAAACUUCUUUUCUCAGGGACGAAGAAAGUGACGGUACCUGAGGAAUAAGCCACGGCUAACUACGUGCCAGCAGCCGCGGUAAUACGUAGGUGGCAAGCGUUAUCCGGAUUUACUGGGUGUAAAGGGCGCGUAGGCGGGAAAGCAAGUCAGAUGUGAAAACCAUGGGCUCAAACUGUGGCCUGCAUUUGAAACUGUUUUUCUUGAGUACUGG